UGUGUGUGUGUGUGUGUCUGCACGCGCGAGCGCAGUUCGUGCAUUUUCCACCCCUACCCCUUUUCCCACCGCACCCACGAGCAGCAUUAAUUGCAAGCGAAAAAGCACGGCCUGCUGCUCCGUGCUCCGAGUGUGUCCCCUCGUUGUUGAUGAUGCCAUUCUAGUGAAGUACGACGUUCUGUCCGAACAGACAACACACUCUCGCACACUCUCGCGUACGAUGUGGACGGUAUUAGCUGCGCCCGUCCGGCAGGUGGUGUAGUAAAUCGAAUUGCUUAGCAGUCAAACCCGUACACCCGUGUACCGCGCGAUUCAACAUGAAGUUUGCCGAGCAUCUGGCCGCCCACAUUACACCGGAAUGGCGCAAACAGUACAUCCAGUACGAGGAGAUGAAGGCCCAGCUGUACGCGGCCGUGGAACAAUCUCCCUCGGCCGAGCUGGUCGAUCCGGAGGUGCUGACGCGGUACUUUGCCAAAUUCGACGAGCAGUUUUUCCACUACUGCGACAGCGAACUGGCCAAAAUCAACACCUUCUAUUCAGAGAAACUUGCCGAAGCGACGCGCAAAUUUGCCAACCUCCGGACCGAGCUGAGCGAAACGCUCGAGAUGGAGGAGAGCACCAAGAUGAAGAAGAAGGACAAUCUGCACAAGAUGAAGAAGAAUCUGCUGCGCAAGAAGAACGUGUCGGUGCGCAAAAUCCAGGAGCUGAAGCUUGCAUUUAGUGAGUUCUAUCUGAGCCUGAUCCUGCUGCAGAACUACCAGAACCUCAACUUUACCGGCUUCCGGAAGAUACUGAAAAAGCACGACAAGCUGCUGAACGUCGACUUUGGCGCCCGGUGGCGGGCGGAGCACGUCGAGUCGGCCCACUUCUACGUGAACAAGGACAUCGACCGGCUGAUCCACGAGACGGAGAACAUCGUGACGAACGAGAUCGAGGGGGGCGACCGGCAGCGGGCCAUGAAGCGGCUGCGGGUACCGCCGCUCGGUGAGCAGCAGAGCCCGUGGACCACGUUCAAGGUGGGCCUGUUUUCCGGCUCGCUCAUCGUGCUGUGCGUGGCCGUCGUCCUGUCGGCCAUGUUCCGGCUGCGGCGGGACGAUUGGAUCGUCGCCUUCCGGCUGUUCCGCGGCCCGCUGCUGAUCGUGGAGUUUAUGUUCCUGUGGGGCAUCAACGUGUACGGGUGGCGGUCGUCCGGCGUGAACCACGUGCUCAUCUUCGAGCUGGAUCCGCGCAACCAUCUGUCCGAGCAGCACAUCAUGGAGCUGGCAUCGAUCUUCGGCGUGAUCUGGACGAUGAGUGUGCUGGGCUAUCUGUAUGCGGAUGCGUUGGCCAUCCCGGCGUACCUGAGCCCGCUUAUUCUGUACCUGCUCAUGGCAGGGUUUCUGCUGAACCCGACGAAAACGUUCCGCCACGAGGCACGCUUCUGGACGCUGCGCAUACUGAGCCGCAUCGUGCUGGCACCGUUCUUCUACGUCAACUUUGCCGACUUCUGGCUGGCGGAUCAGCUGAACAGCAUCGUGCCGGCCUUUUUGGACCUGCAGUACUUCCUCUGCUUCUUUUCCACGAUCAGCAACUGGAGCUAUGCGGAGGAUCCGAACCAGUGCAUCAACAAUUCGCUCUGGAUCCGGCCGGUCGUGGCCAUGCUGCCGGCCUGGUUCCGAAUGGCCCAGUGUUUGCGGCGGUUCCGUGAUACGCGCGAUGCCCAUCCGCAUCUUGCCAACGCGCUCAAGUACUCGACGUCGUUCUUUGUGGUCAUUUUUUCGUCGAUUACGCAGGCUACGCGGGAUCAGUACGCGAAGAGUUCGGACAAUCCGUGGUUUUACCUGUGGAUACUGGCAUCGAUCGUGUCGUCCUGCUACGCGUACACCUGGGACAUUAAGAUGGAUUGGGGUCUGUUCGAUUCCAAGUCGAGCGAUAACAAGUUUUUGCGCGAUGAAGUCGUGUACAGCUCGAAUUGGUUCUACUAUUUUGCCAUCGUUGAGGAUCUCAUUCUGCGCUUUGGAUGGACGCUCUCGAUGAGUCUGAUCGAGAUGGGUUACAUUGAUCGGGAGAUUAUCGUCUCAAUUCUUAGCCCGCUGGAGGUAUUCCGUCGCUUCAUCUGGAACUACUUCCGGCUGGAGAACGAACAUCUGAACAAUUGCGGUAACUUCCGUGCCGUUCGUGACAUUUCCGUUGCACCGAUGGAUUGCUCCGAUCAGACUACCAUUCUGCGCAUGAUGGACGAGGAGGAUGGUGUACGAAAUCGGCGCACGGUGAAGAAGCUGGCCAAUAAGAAAAAGUCUGAACAGCGGCUGCUACUGCGGGAGGCGGAAUCGACGGAAGAUUUGGAAAUGUAACGUGGCGCUUUGAUUUAAUCUUGAUUUAAUAACUGCGUUUCAUGCGAAUUUCCACACGGUAGCGCAUUCUACAUCGUAUCCGUUGAUCAUGCAGCACCAACAGGAUCAUCACAACCCAUUCGGAUUCCACGCUUGAGGAUGGUUUUUAUCAUUUCGUAUCACUUCAUGCUUGAAGAGAACAUUUUUGAAGAGUACCUUAAAGGACGCACUGAUACUUCAAUAGAAGUACUAAGGAAUUAUGGAUCAUUGCAUUUUUUAUUUGAAUGAAAGUAGAAUCAAACAUCAUUAUUCCAUUAUUUCAUGUUCCCUUACUCAUUUAUGAACAAGCUUCUUUUUUAAACGUGGCUCAUAGAACUCAUCCGUAGCUCGAUAUACGUGUGUACUUAGUGGAUUAGGAGCAUAGCAUCCUUGUCGCAGGUACUGUGUUAAUUAGUUCCAAAAGAUGCUAGCGCAUCUGUAGAAUUACAUCGAAACCAUGCGACCCGUCUGAGGAAGGUCUGAUACAGCAUUAUUUCCAAAGACUUGAACAUCAUUCGUGCUUCGUCGGAAUGUAUCGCCAAAUCAAUGUGUAGUAUUAUCUCACUCAAUCGUUGUUAACGCUAUGUGUUUAAAACGUUGGAUUAUAAUAUCCAGAUUAUUGUAUCUUUUUAUGAUCUUUCCUUUUCAAUUUUUUUCUGUGUUUGUGCUCGUUGUAUUUCAUGUGCUCUUUUUCAAUCCACAGCAGCGACAGUUCUAAAAGGCAGGUGCAGUGGGAAAUUUAACAAAUUGGCAAGCAGGUGUGUGAAGGAUUCGUACUCCCUGACUGCACCUGAAUCCUCAAAUCAUGUCGAUGAAUGAAGAACACGGUUAGGUAUCAUCACCAGGAGGAACCAAACAUUGGCUAAGACUAUAGAAAACGGGUUAAAUUUAUUUUAAAAAAAUGAUACUGUGCAACAGUGAAACGGUAAAUUUGUAACUAGUUUUGGUCUAAUGAUUUUGGAAGGAGGAACUAAACUGCCCCGUUGUGAUUGGGAAAGAAUAAAUUGUUUGAAUGUA